rnacentral:lncRNA from 1 species
AACCAAGCCUUCAACGAAAUAUUCAGCAGAGGAACCUGUCUUAAUGAGUUUUGAGGAAAGUUUAUCAAAAUUUCAGUUUUAUUAUUAUCCCUAUACAAUAAUCAAUCAUAUUAAAACUAUACUCAAUAGAAAGUUCAGAAAAAGAUAAACAUUUUCAAAGUUUCAAAUGUAAAAAAAAAACUUUUUCUUGAAGCAGAUUUUUUAAAAAUCGAAUGUCUAGCCACUAUGUCCAAACGUUAUUUAUGUCCAUACCUUA